rnacentral:rRNA from 1 species
AGGCUUUGAAGCACAGUCGCUAGAUUGUGUGGAGCCGUCCUUGAAAUACCACCCUUGUAUGUUUGAUGUUCUAACAUUGUUCCCUUAUCGGGAAUGUGGACAGUGUCUGGUGGGUAGUUUGACUGGGGCGGUCUCCUCCCAAAUAGUAACGGAGGAGCACGAAGGUUAGCUAAUCACGGUCGGACAUCGUGAGGUUAGUGCAAUGGCAUAAGCUAGCUUAACUGCGAGACAGACACGUCGAGCAGAUACGAAAGUAGGUUCUAGUGAUCCGGUGGUUCUGUAUGGAAGGGCCAUCGCUCAACGGAUAAAAGGUACUCCGGGGAUAACAGGCUGAUACCGCCCAAGAGUUCACAUCGACGGCGGUGUUUGGCACCUCGAUGUCGGCUCAUCACAUCCUGGGGCUGAAGUCGGUCCCAAGGGUAUGGCUGUUCGCCAUUUAAAGUGGUACGCGAGCUGGGUUUAGAACGUCGUGAGACAGUUCGGUC